CGCUUUGCACACGCUAAAUGCAAAGCGUAAAUAUUGAAAAUGGAAAGCAAAAAAAAAAAAUAAGAAAAUGAUUUACUAUACAAUAGGCGCUAAUGGACAACGCAUACAGAAUUAAUAUUAAUUGAGUUGGCUUUUGCGAAAAAUGCUAAAUAUUAAUUGCAUAAUAAUACAAAAUUUUUUUUUAUUUAGUAAAUUAUAAUAACGACUGACGAGUGGGUUGGUGGCGAGGCUAACAUUGGAUGGGUUUGCAGUUUGGAUAUAUCAAACUUAAAAAGAAUCAAAGCCGGGGAAAUACAUUAGGAUCGGAAUCCAAGAAAUUAUAUACAAUUGAACUUCCUUAAUUCGAAUUACCUUAAUCUUCAAAAAAAACUUCGAAUUAUGGAAAAAUAUGUGUAUGAAAUUUGACUUCUAUUGCCAAUUCAAGAGUUCGAGACAUGGAAGUUCAAUAUAACACAUAGACUGACCGACAUAUUCGACAAAAGGUUUGUUAUAUAUGUUCUAUAUGGGAGUUGAGGAUAUUAUACACCCGAUUUUAUCUAUUUUUGCUAAUACUACCUUGUACUUGUAUUGAUAAUAAUAAUAAAAUGUUCUUUGAGGCUCCAAUCAUAUAGAGCAAAGUCACCCG